rnacentral:lncRNA from 1 species
AAAACCACAAUGGCUUCCAAACACAUUUCCCUUACUAUUUUCCUUUGCUUUAACCUUUUCUUUGCCUUAGUUUCUAGUUGUGGCACUUGUCCUAAACCUAAACCAAAACCAAAACCCUCAUGUCCACCACCACCUUAUUACCCUAAAGAAACUUGUCCAAUUGAUACACUUAAAUUAGGUGUUUGUGCUGAUGUUCUUGGAUUAGUAAAUGUUGUUGUUGGCUCACCACCAGUAACUCCUUGUUGUACUCUUCUAUCUGGACUUGCUAAUGCUGAAGCUG